UACGAAGGGGGCUAGCGUUGCUCGGAAUCACUGGGCGUAAAGCGCACGUAGGCGGCUUUCCAAGUCAGGGGUGAAAUCCUGGAGCUCAACUCCAGAACUGCCUUUGAUACUGGAGAGCUUGAGUCCGGGAGAGGUGAGUGGAACUCCGAGUGUAGAGGUGAAAUUCGUAGAUAUUCGGAAGAACACCAGUGGCGAAGGCGGCUCACUGGCCCGGUACUGACGCUGACUAGUGCGG
rnacentral:rRNA from 1 species